AAGAAUCUCAUUGUUUGAAGUAAUAUAUGAAUAGAACAAUGUCAUUCAAAUCGUAUGGUUUCAAAUUGAUCUUAUAUUCCUUUUUUCCGAAAUAAUAUUUAUCCAAAAAUAAGAGAAAUUUUAAAAAACAAUUUUUAGUAAAAGACAAGUUCACUUGUCAUCGAAAAUUUCGGAAAUCAUACACCAUACAUAGUAUUAAAUUUCGAAACCAUAUUUUGGAUUUUCGGAUGUUCGGAUGUUCAGAAAGUGCCGUCACACAACAUUUUUUUUCUUGACGUCAUCGAUCUAUAGCAAUCGUCGACGACGAAAUUCAGCUAGUCGAAUUCCGCAGUCUGGAAACAACCGCGUAGUAGAGAGGACGUAUGGGAAUCGCGCUCCGCAGAUUUCGAGUACCCGGUUCUCUACCUCCUGGAUCCUGUGCUCCGGGUCCGCUACCUGGUGAAACUCGACCUCCAGGACAAGCGCUCCGUAGUUUCUGCGCUCCAGGUACGCUACCUGGUGACCCAUGAUCUUCAGGACUAAUUUUCCGUAGUUCUAGCUGUCCAAGUUCUCCACUCGGUGAAACUUGACCUCCAGGACAAGGGCUCCGUGAUUCCUGCGCUCCAGGUAUUGGAAAAAUUACGUGUGUCACACGUGUGGAUAGGAGAAACAGGACUCGUGGAGAUUGCGCAUGCUACUUUAUUGCAAAAAUGAUCGACUAUAACGAGAACGAUCAUCUGUCAUCGGCUCGCGAGUUUAUACUCUAAAAAAUAAGACACGAUACUUCCGCCAUUCUCCGUUGGCGCAUAUACUUGAAAUCUGAAGGUGAUCUGCUACACGCGGCGUGUAAGAAAAACACUGAAGAACCCAAUCGAAGGAUAACCACGGUGAACUGUGGAUAUACAUUAUACUAAACGCUACGCAUUUGCGUAAAACGGUCAAAGAAUUGCGUGCGUACUGCGGCUGCCGGUCAAUAAAUGUAACCAUGAGAAUUACGCUGUUUAAUUGCUCGAGAGGCUCAGAGUACGUGCGCUUUUCAGCUAUUCCUUUACUUAAACAAACUAUUAUGACUUGCACCUAAUACGUACUUACACAUCAUAUGCACCAUGCGCAUUAACAGGGGAAUGCAUACACAUGUGCAGAAUGUUGCCCAACGCUGAUUGAUAUGUAAAACGUCGAACAUAGUCAUCAGCCUUGACAGUCCUUUGAAAUUGAAAUUCUGUCACUAUACUUCUGCAUAUCCCAUAUACCUACAUGUGUGCGUACCGACCCAUACGUGUGAUCACUGACACUGACCCACUUUACUAAGGUAUACCAAUUUGUUCUUGCCUCACAGACUUGUCUUAAAUCAUCGCUAUAGGUAUAUCACAGAGUAUUCAGUAUUAAAAAAUUAAUAACAGUAUAUUACAAAAGUUUUUUAUUUUUCGCAAAACAACUUUCGUCUCAUAAAACUACAUUUUUUAUGUCUCGGUUCCAUCACAUGAUAUAUACGCCUUGGUCUGAGCGUAUUGCAUUAUCGCAUAGAUGCUUAAUUACUUGUGUAAUUUCUUAAAGAGUGUAUUUCAACGACCUCGAAUUUCCCAAUUUUCUCUUCGGCAUGGCCGAUACGCCAUCAAUUACGUCUGAUAUCCAAUGACAGCGGCCUCGUGCUCCUAGCAGACUUUUAAUCCCAUUCGGGUACGUAGAUUAGGCUACGUAUCCUCAGGCGUAUCUCAACUCCAUUCGAGCAUUUUCCCUGUACAUCUAUCCUACGUAAGUACCUGUAUUGUACUAUAAUAAUCACAUUUUUAUCUUAUUCCAAUGAUAAGCUGUGUGGGGAAAAAUUCUAAUCAAGUGAUUUUUAUUCUCGCUUUCGUGAAGGUAUUUGUAAUUUCGGAAUAAAUUAUUGGUUGCUUUUUACUUUUCAUCAUUCGUAGUGAUAUAGGGACAGUAUUAGUCUCGGUGGAAAAGGACUUUAUCUAAUGCCAAUGAAUGAUGACGUUUUCAUACUUCUAUGAGUAUCCGAAAAACAGAUUUUUAGAAAAACGUCGGUCUGUCUGUAUGGCCGGACGAAUUCUGGCGAUGAUUUCGGAAAGUGCUGGAUAAAAAAAUCAGAAAUUCGGACGUCUCUACAUUCAAAUGAGUGGUUAAAAAAUUGACAUGUGUUAUUUUUUGUCCUUAUGUCUCAAUCCAAAUAAAAUCAAAAUGCGAAAAAUUCGAAGCACUCCGACACAGUUUACGAGACGUUGAUAAAAAGUAUUAUACAAUUUAUUUCAAAACGUAUUAACUAGUGUAUUAGUAUAUAAACAAUUUGAUGAAAAAUAGAGAAACUAUUUUAUGAAAAAUAAGAGUGUUAGCGACAAAAUAUUUUGGUCAUGCAUGAUGGUACUUCCAGUAAACGGAUUGGUUUGCAAAGUGACGAAAGGUACCGCUAAGAAUAUGAUUUUUACGGCUUAUAUUCUCGUUAUUUCAGCGGUAUGAGCAAAGAUCAUGUCUUUUUGAAAGAAUAUUUUUUAUGCAGUG